AAAUGACUCUCGGCAACGGAUAUCCCGGCUCUCGCAUCGAUGAAGAACGCAGCGAAAUGCGAUACUUGGUGUGAAUUGCAGAAUCCCGUGAACCAUCGAGUCUUUGAACGCAAGUUGCGCCUGAAGCCAUUAGGCUGAGGGCACGUCUGCCUGGGUGUCAUGC
rnacentral:rRNA from 1 species